GACGAACGCUGGCGGCGUGCUUAACACAUGCAAGUCGAACGGAAAGGCCCCCUUGUGGGGUACUCGAGUGGCGAACGGGUGAGUAACACGUGAGUAACCUACCCUUGACUUUGGGAUAACUUCAGGAAACUGGGGCUAAUACCGGAUAGGAGCUCCCGCUGCAUGGUGGGGGUUGGAAAGUUUCGGCGGUUGGGGAUGGACUCGCGGCUUAUCAGCUUGUUGGUGGGGUAGUGGCUCACCAAGGCUUUGACGGGUAGCCGGCCUGAGAGGGUGACCGGCCACAUUGGGACUGAGAUACGGCCCAGACUCCUACGGGAGGCAGCAGUGGGGAAUAUUGCACAAUGGGCGGAAGCCUGAUGCAGCAACGCCGCGUGCGGGAUGACGGCCUUCGGGUUGUAAACCGCUUUCGCCUGUGACGAAGCGUGAGUGACGGUAAUGGGUAAAGAAGCACCGGCUAACUACGUG
rnacentral:rRNA from 1 species